rnacentral:rRNA from 1 species
GACCUCGGAUCAGGUGGGAAUACCCGCUGAACUU